rnacentral:lncRNA from 1 species
CCUUUGUCACCUCUGUCACCUGUGUGUCACCUCCCUGUGUCACCUCUGUGCCACCUGUGUCACCUCCCUGUGUCACCUCCUGUCCCUGAUGGACAACCCCACCCUCUACCUGGAGAAAUACGUGAGUGACCUCAUUGGUGUCACCUCUGUGUCACCUUUGUGUCACCUGUGUCACCUCUGGGUCACCUCUGUGUCACCUUUGUGUCACCUCUGUCACCUCUGGGUCACCUCUGUGUCACCUCUGUCACCUCUGUCACCUCCCUGUGCCACCUCCUGUCCCUGAUGGACAACCCCACCCUCUACCUGGAGAAAUACCUGCACGAGCUGAUCCCGGCGGUGAUGACGUGCAUCGUCAGCCGCCAGCUGUGCCUGCGGCCAGAUGUGGACAACCACUGGGCCCUGCGGGACUUCGCCGCGCGCUUGGUGGCCCAGGUGUGCAAAAACUUCAGCACCACCACCAACAACAUCCAGUCCCGCAUCACCAAAACCUUCACCAAGGAUGGACCCAGGUCUGUGAGAACUUCAGCACCACCACCACCAACAUCCAGUCCCAUCACCAAAACCUUCACCAAGGUGGGGAUUUGGGGAUUUGUGGGGUUUUUAUGGGAUUUGUGGGGUCAGGAAUGAGGAUUUGGGUCAGGAUUUGGGGUCAGGAUCCGGGAUUUAGGGUCGGAUUCAGGAUUUUGGGGUCAGGAUCCGGGAUUUGGGGUCGGAUCCGGGAUUUUGGGGUCAGGAUCUGGGAUUUGGGUCAGGAUUUGGGUCAGGAUUUGGGAUUUGGGGUCUGGAUCCGGGAUUUUGGGGUCAGGAUUUUGGGUCGGAUUUGGGUCAGGAUUUGGGGUCAGGAUCUGGGAUUUAGGGUCGGAUCCGGGAUUUUGGGGUCAGGAUCUGGGAUUUGGGUCAGGAUUUGGGAUUUGGGUCAGGAUUUGGGGUCUGGAUCUGGGAUUUGGGGUCAGGAUCCGGGAUUUGGGGUCAGGAUCCGGGAUUUUGGGGUCAGGAUCCGGGAUUUGGGGUCGGAUGCAGGAUUUGGGGUCAGGAUCCGGGAUUUGGGGUCAGGAUUUAGGGUCGGAUCCGGGAUUUUGGGGUCAGGAUCCGGGAUUUGGGGUCAGGAUCCGGGAUUUUGGGUCAGGAUCCAGGAUUUGGGGUCGGAUCCGGGAUUUGGGGUCGGAUCCGGGAUUUUGGGUCAGGAUCCGGGAUUUGGGGUCGG